rnacentral:rRNA from 1 species
CGUAGUUGACGACGUGUGUUCAGUGAAAUCGAGUAGGGCGGGACACGUGAUAUCCUGUCUGAAUAUGGGGGGACCAUCCUCCAAGGCUAAAUACUACUGACUGACCGAUAGUGAACCAGUACCGUGAGGGAAAGGCGAAAAGAACCCCUGUGAGGGGAGUGAAAUAGAACCUGAAACCGUGUACGUACAAGCAGUAGGAGCAGGCUUGUCCUGUGACUGCGUACCUUUUGUAUAAUGGGUCAGCGACUUAUAUUCAGUGGCAAGGUUAACCAUCUAGGGGAGCCGUAGGGAAACCGAGUCUUAACUGGGCGUUCAGUCUCUGGAUAUAGACCCGAAACCAGGUGAUCUAGCCAUGGGCAGGUUGAAGGUUGAGUAACAUCAACUGGAGGACCGAACCGACUAAUGUUGAAAAAUUAGCGGAUGACUUGUGGCUAGGGGUGAAAGGCCAAUCAAACCUGGAGAUAGCUGGUUCUCCCCGAAAGCUAUUUAGGUAGCGCCUCGGACGAAUACUACUGGGGGUAGAGCACUGUUAAGGCUAGGGGGUCAUCCCGACUUACCAACCCUUUGCAAACUCCGAAUACCAGUAAGUACUAUCCGGGAGACACACGGCGGGUGCUAACGUCCGUCGUGGAGAGGGAAACAACCCAGACCGCCAGCUAAGGUCCCAAAUUACUACUAAGUGGGAAACGAUGUGGGAAGGCUCAGACAGCCAGGAUGUUGGCUUAGAAGCAGCCAUCAUUUAAAGAAAGCGUAAUAGCUCACUGGUCGAGUCGGCCUGCGCGGAAGAUGUAACGGGGCUAAGUAGUAAACCGAAGCUGCGGCAAUACUCUUUGAGUAUUGGGUAGGGGAGCGUUCUGUAAGCGGUUGAAGGUGUGUGGUAACGCAUGCUGGACGUAUCAGAAGUGCGAAUGCUGACAUGAGUAACGAUAAAGGGGGUGAAAAACCUCCUCGCCGGAAGACCAAGGGUUCCUGUCCAACGUUAAUCGGGGCAGGGUAAGUCGACCCCUAAGGCGAGGCCGAAAGGCGUAGUCGAUGGGAAACGGGUUAAUAUUCCCGUACUUCUUACAAUUGCGAUGGGGGGACGGAGAAGGCUAGGUGGGCCUGGCGACGGUUGUCCAGGUUCAAGUGCGUAGGCUGAGAAAUUAGGUAAAUCCGGUUUCUCUUAAGGCUGAGA